rnacentral:rRNA from 1 species
UACGUAGGUGGCGAGCGUUAUCCGGAAUUACUGGGCGUAAAGGGCCCGCAGGCGGCUUCUUAAGUCUGACGUGAAAGCUCCUGGCUUAACUGGGAGAGGUCGUUGGAGACUGGGGGGCUUGAGGCGAUGAGAGGGGUGUGGAAUUCCCGGUGUAGUGGUGGAAUGCGUAGAUAUCGGGAGGAACACCAGUGGCGAAAGCGGCACCCUGGCAUCGGCCUGACGCUGAGGGGCGAAGGCGUGGGGAGCGAACGGG